rnacentral:rRNA from 1 species
UACGGAGGGUGCAAGCGUUGUCCGGAUUUAUUGGGUUUAAAGGGUGCGUAGGCGGCUUUUUAAGUCUGGGGUGAAAGCCCGUUGCUCAACAACGGAACUGCCCUGGAAACUGGAGAGCUUGAGUACAGACGAGGGUGGCGGAAUGGACGGUGUAGCGGUGAAAUGCAUAGAUACCGUCCAGAACACCGAUUGCGAAGGCAGCUGCCUAGACUGUAACUGACGCUGAGGCACGAAAGCGUGGGGAGCGAACAG